UGAAAGCAUCUAAGUGGGAAGCCACCACCAAGAUAAGAUCUCUAUGAGACCCCUUGAAGACCACGAGGUUGAUAGGCCCGGGAUGUAAGCGCAGUAAUGUGUUCAGUCUACGGGUACUAAUCGGUCGAAUGUUCUUUUC
rnacentral:rRNA from 1 species